CAGUAGCCGCGGUAAAACGGAGGGUGCAAGCGUUAAUCGGAAUUACUGGGCGUAAAGCGCACGCAGGCGGUCUGACAAGUCAGAUGUGAAAUCCCCGGGCUUAACCUGGGAACUGCAUUUGAAACUGUCAGGCUGGAGUCUUGUAGAGGGGGGUGGAAUUCCAGGUGUAGCGGUGAAAUGCGUAGAGAUCUGGAGGAAUACCGGUGGCGAAGGCGGCCCCCUGGACAAAGACUGACGCUCAGGCGCGAAAGCGUGGGGAGCAAACAGGAUUAGAUACCCGCGUAGUCCCUGUCUCUUAUAC
rnacentral:rRNA from 1 species